rnacentral:rRNA from 1 species
GAACCGGGCAAACGUUAUUCGGAAUUACUGGGCUUAAAGGGUGCGUAGGCGGCGCUUCAAGUCGGGUGUGAAAUCCCCCAGCUCAACUGGGGAACGUGCGCCCGAAACUGGAGUGCUUGAGGGAGAUAGAGGUGAGCGGAACGAAUGGUGGAGCGGUGAAAUGCGUUGAUAUCAUUCGGAACACCCGUGGCGAAAGCGGCUCACUGGGUCUCUUCUGACGCUGAGGCACGAAAGCUAGGGGAGCGAACGGGGAUUAGAUACCCCGGUAGUCCUAGCUGUAAACGAUGAGCACUAGAUCGGGGAGCCCCUCCACAGCCUCCCCCCGAUCGUAGCGAAAGUGUUAAGUGCUCCGCCUGGGGAUAUGGUCGCAAGGCUG